rnacentral:rRNA from 1 species
GACGAACGCUGGCGGCGUGCCUAAUACAUGCAAGUUGAGCGCUGAAGGUUGGUACUUGUACCAACUGCAUGAGCAGCGAACGGGUGAGUAACGCGUGGGGAAUCUGCUUUUCAGCGGGGGACAACAUGUGGAAACGAAUGCUAAUACCGCAUAAAAUCUUUAAACAUAAGGUUUAAGGUUGAAAUUUGCAAUUGCAGCACUCAAAGAUGACCCCGCGUUGUAUUAGCUGGUUGGUGAGGUAAAGGCGCUCUAAGGCGUUGAUACAUAGCCGACCUGAGCGGGUGCGCGGCCACAUUGGGACUGGGACCCGGCCCAUACUGCCACGGAAGGCGGCAGUACGGCAUCGUCGGCCAUCGGCGAGAGUCUGACCGAGAUACGCCGCGUGAGUGUGGAGGGUUUUCGGAUCGUAAAACUCUGUUGGUAGGGAAGAACGUUGGUGAGAGUGGAAAGCUCAUCAAGUGACGGUAACUACUCAGAAAGCACCGGCUAACUACGUG